rnacentral:rRNA from 1 species
AUUGAAAGCUGGCGGCAGGCCUAAAACAUGCAAGUCGAACGAGUGGCGGACGGGUGAGUAAUGUCUGGGACACUGCCCGAUGGAGGGGGAUAACUCCUGGAAACGGUAGCUAAUACAGCCUAACCUCGGAUGAUCCCAUAUUGGAUUAGCUAGUAGGUGGGGUACAGGCUCACCUAGGCGACGAUCCCUAGCUGUUCUGAGAGGCAGAUCAGCCACACUUGAACUGAGACACGGUCCAGACUCCUACGGGAGGCAGCAGUGGGGAAUAUUGCACAAUGGGCGCAAGCCUGAUGCAGCCAUGCCGCGUGUAUGAAGAAGGCCUUCGGGUUGUAAAGUACUUUCAGCGAGGAGGCGUUACUCGCAGAAGAAGCACCGGCUAACUCCGUGCCAGCAGCCGCGGUAAUAC